GACGUUGUCAAAUUUUUGAUAUCCAUAAUUUUAGAAAAUAUAUGUAUUUGUAUAGUUUUGUACCGAUAUAUUUGUGAAAGUGUAAGAUGUCGGACCGAUUGUGUUGUCGGUAAUCAUAUGUUCGGUUUCCUUGGACAAUGUGCUGUUGCUGUUGUUGCAGCUUUUGGGAGAAGGUCGUUAAUUGGAUGUACUGUAUCGGCUCUUACUUGGGAUGCUUCAGAGUACAGUGCAGAUGUCAGAAAUGCGACGACGACGACGAAGACAGCUUAUAUAUAAUGGCAACUUAUUAUGAUUCUUCCUUAAAAUUGGACAGCGACGAUAAAGAACAAUUAUUUCGUGAGGUUGGAUUCUAUUCCCCGUGGAGAGAGGACACGAAGAAUAUGUGAAAUAUAUAAUUUUAUUUUGAUUGCCAUAAGGCACCUAUUUGCUCCGGUUUUGAAAGGUCAAUAAAUUUAAUUUACCAUUA